rnacentral:rRNA from 1 species
UACAGAGGGUGCGAGCGUUAAUCGGAGUUACUGGGCGUAAAGGGCGCGUAGGCGGUUAUAUUAGUGUGAUGUGAAAGCCCUGGGCUUAACCUAGGAAGUGCAUCGCAAACGGUAUAACUGGAGUAUAAGAGAGGGUGGCGGAAUUUCCGGUGUAGCGGUGAAAUGCGUAGAGAUCGGAAGGAACGUCAAUGGCGAAGGCAGCCACCUGGCUUAAUACUGACGCUGAGGCGCGAAAGCGUGGGGAGCAAACAGGAUUAGAUACCCCGGUAGU